CACGUAGGGCGCAAGCGUUUGUCCGGAAUUAUUGGGCGUAAAGAGCUCGUAGGCGGUCUGUUGCGUCCGCUGUGAAAACUCGGGGCUUAACCCCGAGCCUGCAGUGGAUACGGGCAGACUAGAGGUAGGUAGGGGAGAAUGGAAUUCCGUGGUAGCGGUGGAAUGCGCAGAUAUCAGGAGGAACACCAGUAGCGAAGGCAGCUC
rnacentral:rRNA from 1 species